GGCCCGCGGACAGCAGUGGACACAUUCAUUCUGUCUUUACACUUCUUGGUGUUUCGUGUAACAGACGUCUCUUUCCAUUCCCCGCUGCUGGGAGGUAAUACGUUGUGAGUGGAUGAGCGCGGACAGCCUAGUAAAGGAGACCUGGGAAGGGAUUGUUUUACGAACGCUGCUGGGAGGUAAUACGUUGUGAGUGGAUGAGCACGGACAGCCUAGUAAAGGAGACCUGGGAAGGGAUUGUUUUACGAACGCUGCUGGGAGGUAAUACGUUGUGAGUGGAUGAGCACGGACAGCCUAGUAAAGGAGAUCUGGGAAGGGAUUGUUUUACGAACGCUGCUGGGAGGUAAUACGUUGUGAGUGGAUGAGCACGGACAGCCUAGUAAAGGAGACCUUGGAAGGGAUUGUUUUACGAACGCUGCUGGGAGGUAAUACGUUGUGAGUGGAUGAGCACGGACAGCCUAGUAAAGGAGACCUGGGAAGGGAUUGUUUUACGAACGCUGCUGGGAGGUAAUACGUUGUGAGUGGAUGAGCACGGACAGCCUAGUAAAGGAGACCUGGGAAGGGAUUGUUUUACGAACGCUGCUGGGAGGUAAUACGUUGUGAGUGGAUGAGCACGGACAGCCUAGUAAAGGAGACCUGGGAAGGGAUUGUUUUACGAGCGCUGCUGGGAGGUAAUACGUUGUGAGUGGAUGAGCACGGACAGCCUAGUAAAGGAGACCUUGGAAGGGAUUGUUUUACGAGCGCUGCUGGGAGGUAAUACGUUGUGAGUGGAUGAGCACGGACAGCCUAGUAAAGGAGAUCUGGGAAGGGAUUGUUUUACGAGCGCUGCUGGGAGGUAAUACGUUGUGAGUGGAUGAGCACGGACAGCCUAGUAAAGGAGACCUUGGAAGGGAUUGUUUUACGAGCGCUGCUGGGAGGUAAUACGUUGUGAGUGGAUGAGCACGGACAGCCUAGUAAAGGAGACCUGGGAAGGGAUUGUUUUACGAACGCUGCUGGGAGGUAAUACGUUGUGAGUGGAUGAGCACGGACAGCCUAGUAAAGGAGACCUGGGAAGGGAUUGUUUUACGAACGCUGCUGGGAGGUAAUACGUUGUGAGUGGAUGAGCACGGACAGCCUAGUAAAGGAGACCUGGGAAGGGAUUGUUUUACGAACGCUGCUGGGAGGUAAUACGUUGUGAGUGGAUGAGCACGGACAGCCUAGUAAAGGAGACCUGGGAAGGGAUUGUUUUACGAACGCUGCUGGGAGGUAAUACGUUGUGAGUGGAUGAGCACGGACAGCCUAGUAAAGGAGACCUGGGAAGGGAUUGUUUUACGAACGCUGCUGGGAGGUAAUACGUUGUGAGUGGAUGAGCACGGACAGCCUAGUAAAGGAGACCUGGGAAGGGAUUGUUUUACGAACGCUGCUGGGAGGUAAUACGU